AACAUCGCGCACCUGCGGGAACCUGCGGAGGGAUCAUUAUCGAAUUGUUAGGGAGGUUGUCGCUGGCUUGUUAUGAGCAUGUGCACGCCUUCUAUGCAUUCAUAUUUACCCCUCUGUGCACUCUUUGUAGACUUGGAGAUAGCUCUCAACCCUAGUUGGAUGGAGGAUGAUGCAUUGAUGUGCUCAUCUUCAAUUUCACAAGUCUAUGCUUUCAUAUACUCGAAAUGUUUUGAAUGGUAU
rnacentral:misc_RNA from 1 species